AAUAGAUAACGCCGUUGACUUUUUUUUACAUGUUUGACCAUUCGUCUUAUUCAAAAAAAUUUACGUAAUUAUAAUUUAUUUUGUUAUAAGUUGUUUUAUCACUCAUGGUACUUUAAGUGUGAUUUAUAUCUUAUACAUUUGCAUAAAUUUUUUAAAUAAGACGAAUGGUCAAAUAUGUGAGAAAAAGUCAACGACGUCAUCUAUU
rnacentral:pre_miRNA from 1 species